UACGGAGGGUGCAAGCGUUGCUCGGAAUUAUUGGGCGUAAAGCGCACGCAGGCGGCGAGGUAAGUCAGUUGUGAAAUUCCCGGGCUUAACUUGGGAACUGCAGCUGAUACUGCCUUGCUUGAGUACGGAAGAGGGGAGCGGAAUUCCCAGUGUAGAGGUGAAAUUCGUAGAUAUUGGGAGGAACACCGGUGGCGAAGGCGGCAUCCUGGACCGGCAUUGACGCUGAGGCGCGAAAGCCAGGGGAGCAAACGGG
rnacentral:rRNA from 1 species